rnacentral:rRNA from 1 species
UACGUAGGCAGCAAGCGUUGUUCGGAGUUACUGGGCGUAAAGGGUGUGUAGGCGGUUGCUUAAGUUUGGUGUGAAAUCUCCCGGCUCAACUGGGAGGGUGCGCCGAAUACUGAGUGACUCGAGUGCGGGAGAGGAAAGUGGAAUUCCUGGUGUAGCGGUGAAAUGCGUAGAUAUUGGGAGGAACACCAGUGGCGAAGGCGAGUCCCUGGACAACACCUGACACUGAGGCACGAAAGCUAGGGGAGCAAACAGG